UGGUGUGUAAAAUGCAGCCACUGAGAAAAACAGUCUGGCUGUUUCAUGAAAAGUUAAAUGUAGCUACCAGCUGACUUAGCAGUUCCACUCCUAGUAUAUGCCAAACAGAAAUGAAAACAUAAGCCCGAAUAAAAACUUGUAUAUCAAUGUUCAGAGCACCAUUAUUCCUAACAGCCAAAAAGUGGAGACAACCUUGGAUUCUACUAUCAAAUGAAUGGAUAAGCAAAAUGUGGUAUAUACAGACAAUGGAAUAUUUGGCCAUACAAAGGAAUGAAGUACUGAAAUGUGCUGCAACAUGGAUAAAUCCUGAAAACAGUAGGGCUGUCCUUGUUUAUCCCCCUCCCAGUAACAGUCAUCCAGAGACCAUCAGGGAGCAGAGCUGAACUGGACAAUGGCAGUGUUCCGAGCACACAGAGCCCCUCUAGGUAAGGUAGCAAGCUCCCCAUGACACUGAGAUGACUCUAUCCAAGUGUAUCCAAUGAUAGUGGAU